rnacentral:rRNA from 1 species
AACGUAGGUACCGAGCGUUAUCCGGAUUUACUGGGCGUAAAGCGCGUUCAGGCGGUUUGGCAAGUCGGGCACGAAAUCUCUCGGCUCAACCGGGAGAGGUUGUCCGAUACUUCCAGACUUGAGGGCAGUAGAGGGUGGUGGAAUUCCGGGUGUAGUGGUGAAAUGCGUAGAUAUCCGGAGGAACACCAGUGGCGAAAGCGGCCACCUGGACUGCACCUGACGCUGACACGCGAAAGCUAGGGGAGCGAACGGG